rnacentral:ncRNA from 1 species
AUAAUGGCUGUGAAGAGAAGCAGUAGCUGCACAGAGCGUUUCAGAGAGCUGUCGUUUGGUGCGAGACAGUACGGGAACUGCGGUGAACUCGUCUUGGAGCUUUGUGCCUGAACCGGUAUGAAACUGUAUCAGUAGGGCGCAACGGAAUAUCCCUCGUUACCGGGAUACGGCAUGUUUGUGCCAAAAAGGGUAUGCUGUGGGAAACGGUAUAAAGUAAAGUGGUACCGCGGAAGAAAUUUGAUGUCUUUCGUCUUUACA